GAACUGCUGGCGAGUCUCACAACAGGACGGAACGGCCGUCCAGUGC
rnacentral:hammerhead_ribozyme from 1 species